rnacentral:rRNA from 1 species
GACAGAGGGUGCAAACGUUGUUCGGAAUUACUGGGCGUAAAGCGUGCGCAGGCGGUCUUGUAAGACAGAGGUGAAAUCCCCGGGCUCAACCUGGGAACUGCCUUUGUGACUGCAAGGCUUGAGUACGGUAGAGGGGGAUGGAAUUCCGCGUGUAGCAGUGAAAUGCGUAGAUAUGCGGAGGAACACCGAUGGCGAAGGCAAUCCCCUGGACCUGUACUGACGCUCAUGCACGAAAGCGUGGGGAGCAAACAGG